CGGUGAUCCCAGCUUGCUGGGCGGAUCAGUGGCGAACGGGUGAGUAACACGUGAGUAACCUGCCCCAGACUCCGGGAUAAGCCUUGGAAACGAGGUCUAAUACUGGAUACGAGAUGCCCCUGCAUGGGGAGUGUCUGGAAAGAUUUAUCGGGUCUGGGAUGGACUCGCGGCCUAUCAGCUUGUUGGUGGGGUAAUGGCCUACCAAAGGCGACGACGUGGUAUGCCUGGCCUGAGAGUUGUGCGACCUGGCACACUGGGACUGAAGGACACGGCCCAGACUCCUACGUG
rnacentral:rRNA from 1 species